AUUUAGCUGACGAGUCCCAAAUAGGACGAAGCGCGCACCCUGGAU
rfam:Schistosoma margrebowiei strain Zambia genome assembly, scaffold: SMRZ_contig0009096